AAAUGGAGGUUUUCUUUGGCGCACGGUUCUGGAGGCUGGCAGUCUAAGACAGAGCCACACCUGGGGGCGGGAGGCUUGAGCCGCACUGCGGAGUGGCGGGUGAGCGGCAGGGCAGGCGAGCGUGCAAAAGAAGCAACGCACAGCCGGCUGGGCCUGCUUUAUGGCACCCCCCCCCCGCUGAGAGGGCGCACCUGCUCCCGUGAGCUUGGCGUGCACCCCCCUUUGGAAUCUAAGCGCCCUUCAAGGCCCCACUGCCCCACACUGUUGCCAUGGCGAUCACAGUGCUGUGUGAGUUCUGCAGGGGACGAGGCGUCUUCAAGCCAGAGUGGGAGGGCUGGGGACCCCGGGGUGGGGGCCCUCCUCCUCCGCCCCUCCUCCUCUCCUGGAGAGGGAAGCGGCAGGGCCUCCAGGUCGAGUUGCCCCAUUUUCCUGAGAACAUCAGAGGCCACCCAGCAGGGCCCUGGCUCCUCCGACCAGGCGUGGCGGAGACCCCCGGAGGCUGCGUCGGGGCGUGUGGAUGCCUGGGAGUGCUCCCCUCCUCCAGGUUAAAGGCCAAGAGAAUGCAACGGCCUGAAAACCACACACAGGCUGUGCAGCUCACAGCCACCGCAGGCUCCGUGGGAGCACAGCUGGACGGCGGAUCUGCAAGACUUCCUCUCGCCUCGCUCACCAGGCCACUGUGGGAGGAGCGCGCCAGCUGCCCCACGCAGGCUCAGCAGGAGGAGGCUUUGGUCCCAGAACCUGCUCCAACACACCAGGCAUUCGCCUCGAGCAUGGAUUCCAGAGAGAGAGAGACUUGAGCCUCCCAGGGUGUGCACGGGAGGAAGCUGAAUUGGAGGCGGAGCUGUGACUCGAACCCAGGCACUCUGAUACAGGAUGUGGACAUCCGAAGUAGCAUCUUAACGCUGUGUCAAAUGCCCGCCUGCUUUGCACGGUGUCCACGGAGACCCUAACAGAUUUGCACACCUGGGGAAGAGACUGUGGCACAAAUCAACACAGCCUCUUUGGAUCAGAGGAGCCCCACGGUGCCCUUGGUGCUCACUGACCCUAACCAGUGGCAGCCGGUUGGCCACCAAAGAGCCAUUCCCCAAACAUGAGCUUGAUGCACAGACCUAUUUUGAUUCUGACAAUCUGCAAACCAGGAAGCUCCAAGUCUGGACGUCAGGGCUGCUGUCUCUGGCCGUGUGAGUCAAGGCCAAAGGGUGACCCCACACAAAGCUCCCUGAAGGCACCGAGUGUUCGGUCUGCAUGUGAGCGUCUGCUGGCCUCUGGGAGAUGGACGGGGGGCUGGGGGGGGAGAGCGCCUGCUGUCCCUUGUGCCUUGGUCUUGAGGUGGAUGUGAGCCCAGAGCGCUGAUCCUGACGCCCAGGUCUGGUGCUGAUGGCUGUGCGGCCACUCAGGGGUGCUGGGACUUCUCCAAACCCCGCACAAGGCGUGACAACUGUGUCCCCAGCUGAUGUCCAUUGGGUGUCUGUGGAAGUAAGAUAAUGCAGGUUUACUAUUUUGGUAGACAGCCGGGGGUGUUUAAAUCACCGGCUCAGCUCCACCUGUGACAUCAUGCUGGCGAAUGGCCUUGGCCACCACGAGUGAACGCCAGCCCUACCACCAAGCCUGGCCACACUGGCCCGGGGCCCGUGGGCGUGGCAGAUCCGGCUUCGGUCAGCCCUGCCCACCUCCCCGCCUCCUCAGCCUGAGGCGGCUGUGCCACAGCAAUUAGAGGGUGGGAUUAGGGGAGACUCGGAUGGCUGGCUUCCUUUGACAGGGCCGUUACAGGAGGGUGCAAGGUGGCGGCUGGGGCUCUGGGAUUCCAGCGUCCGCCAAAGUCUUCAUUUCUGUACUAAAUAUGCUGCACAAGAACAAGAGAGCAAGGGGUCUCCCGCUCAGCCGCGCUGACGUUCGGGGCCAGCCCCUCCUUGGCAUGAUGCCCCCAUGGCUGUCCUCUGAGUGGGGCCCUCUUUGGGGCCUUGCUUGUCUUACCCUGGUCCUGGCUCAGCUCCGACAGGACCCAAUGCCCCGGGAAGGUAGAAUUAUGCCCCCAUUAAACCACUGAGCUAGGCUUUUCUCACCGUGCUGUGGGUCUCCCGAGGGCCUACAGAGCUCUGUGACAGCUCGGUGCUGCUGGGAGUCUCUGCUGUGUGACUUCACGCGUGGGGCCGGGGCUGACGGGUGUUGUGAUCCAGGCUCCUUUGAUCAUCACAAAAUGCAAACUGGGAUGCCAACAGCUGCUGUCCCCGAGCGACCACAUGCACGCGGGAAUUCUCUCGUUACGGUAGCCGCCUCCCUCCAUCUUGGGCUGCCCAUUGCAGGGCAAGGGGAGAGGCCGAGUGGAGUCACGGGGGAUGAUUUCCUACAUAAGCUCUGAUCAGGUUGUGGGAUAUCCUGGCUAGCAAAUGCGUGUAAUGAAACUUCCCCCAAAGUGUCGAAACCGAACCAAAGCCACUGACACACACACUCACACACACACGUGCACAUACACGCACGCGCACACACACGCACUCACACACAUGUGCACAUACAUGCACACAUGCAUGCACACACAUGUACGCGCACACACGCGCACAUACACAUAUGCACACACGUGUAUGUGCACACACAAGCAUGCAUGCAUACACACAUGCACACACGCGUGCACACGUGCACACACGCGCGCACACACGUGCACACAGGGCAGGCCACAGGACAAUGCUGCCGUCCUGGAUGCAACUCGCGAAGGAGCCACUUCUACUCCGGAGGCAGCAAGAGCUCUGGAUCCCCUCAGCCCUGCCCAGCCCCUGCACCUGCGCUGUGAACCCGGUGUGGUCACCAGGGGGCAGGACAGCAGCCUGGGUUCUGGGAUUUGCCCAGAGGAGACACCUGGGAAAUCGGAUUGGAAGGAAAGAGUACAUUUGCUUAUCACGUUGACUUAGGGGUUAGGUUUCAGGUUAAUAAAAUACAUCAGCGAGAUAUGUUUCAUCCACGUUCCCACCAAGGUGGAGAAAAUCACCUGUAACUAAUGCCACCUGCCUCGUCUCCGAGGGUGACUCUGAGGUUGCCGGGGGAAGGGGAGACGGGGCUGAGGUGUCCCACAGAGGGAGGCAGCCCCGGCUUCCCUGCACGCGUCUCUCAGGCUGUUCCCUGUGCCAGGACCGCCGUGAGCUCGAGCCCCUCCCACCCCGCCUGGUCUGACCUCCGUGUAACGCACAAAAGGGGCCUGUGUUUACAGCCGGGCUCUGUCACUGGGUCACCAUGGGCGACCCUGCCCAUCACUGACCCCGCCCCCUGCCUCCUGGCUCCUCAUUCAUAAAACCCCACCCACAGGGUGUGGUGUGGACUGAAUGGGGAGGACCGGGCACGCUGUUGCCGUGGUGCCCACCAUAUCUGUGGUCGUUGGCAUCAGGAGCAGUGGGUGCUCUGUCUGGGUGCCCCUCUCAGCCCAGUGGCUGGCAGCGAGGCAGGUGUCCUGGGGAGCCUUCCACACAGGGCAGUUACUAACGCACAGGUUGUCUCUGCAGGAGCGCCGGGCUGUCCUUCUCAGCUGUGGGUCCCCCUCCAGUUCAGUUCAAAAAAUGCCCACCUGGGGUUGGGGGCAGGGCACCCUCUUAACCUUUGAGAGUGCGACUUUGAUUCCCACAGCUGCCCGCCGCCCCGGUGAGCUCAGGCAAGGCCCCUGCGAGCACCCUGACCUCGCCGAUGCCCGACAGCGACCGCGACACGCGGAAGUGGGGCUUCGGCUCCAGGCAAGGCCGGCUCAGCUCGGCGCGGCCGGCUCUCUGUCACAGCUCCGGAGCCCCGGCUCUCCCCUCGCUACUUCUGAUCACCACGGAGGACUGUCCAGGAGACUUCGACAGCUUCAGCCGGGAAGGAACGCAGUCACGUGGGCCGCCACCCUCCCAGCCGAUCUCCACCAGGUGCAAGGGCUGCAGGCCCGGCCAGGGGCCAUCCGGCCGGCGGGCUUUGUUUAGGGAAAGGACUCAUGACCCUAUUUUCGGCUUUGUGGGCUGUAAGGUCCCAGUCCCAGCGACUCCACUCUGGGACGCAGCCAAGGACAGCAUGUAAACAAGUGGUCAGGGCUAUGUUCCAAUGAAGCGUCACUUACAAGAACUCGGUCACUUGCUGACCUUGGUUUAGAACUGUCCAGGGCAUCGCUUAGAGAGCCAGAAUUGUGGGCCAGUGCUGUGGGUGUAGUGGGUUACAGCCCCGGCCUGCGAGGCUGGCAUCCACUAUGGUCAAGUCCCGGCUGCUCCACUUCCCAUCCAGCUCCCUGCUAAUGCCCCUGGGAAAGCAGCAGAAGAUGGCCCACAUACAUGGGCUCCCUCACCCAUGUGGGAGACCUGGAAGAAGCUCUUGGCUCCUGGCUUCAGCCUGGCCCAGCCCUGGCUGUCGCAGACAUUUGAGGAGUGAACCCACGAAUGGAGGGUCUCUCUCUCUUGUCACUUCCUCUCUCUGUGUAACUCUGACUUUCAAAUAUAUAAAAUAAAUAUUAAAAAAUAAAGAAAAAAUUGUGUUGUUAGUAAAAAAAAAUAAAAAUAAGAAAACACCAUUCCCGGGGAAGGCUUUGGUUUUCCAGGUGAACAGGCCGCUGGCCGGGGCUGGCCGGCCGAGAGGUGUUUAAGCAUCGCUGCAAGAGACCACGACGGACUCGCCGGCCGUAUCCACAAAUUCCCACGCUGCUUCAGGUAUUCCAAGGACACUUUUUUAGAAGUAAAUUAUCUCAUUUUUUGGAUUUCUUUGUUUAUUUUUCAUCUUAUUUGAAAGACAGCGAGACAAAGAGUCAGAGCUUUUGGCUCACUUCCCAAGUGCCCUCAACAUCCAGGACUUGGCCAAGCUGAAGGCAGGAGCCUGGGGUUCUGCGUGGGUCUCCCACGUGGGCGGCAGAGACUCAGGCACUUGGGCCAUCACCUGCUGUCUCCCGGAGCGCACGUUAGCAGGAAGGUGGGAGGAAGCAGAGUGAGACUCCGUUCCAGGACUCCGGUGUGGGCUGCGAGUGUCCCGAGCCACGUCGUAAAUGCUGCUCCAGAUGCGCCCGUUUUGGGUUUCUAAGUGUGUCGUUUACAACGGCAAAGCAUGCCGCUUAAAGCAGGAGAGAGCUGAGCGGGCAGGUCCCAUCAAUCUUCCACGUGGGGCUUUUAAAUGGCUCCAAGAGUGUGAAUAAUGUCUUUGCCUGAAACUCAGCAGGUUUUCCCAGGUUGCGGAUUCGUCACGGCGUCUGCAGUUCCGUGAUUCCGGCUUGGCGCCCGUGUCCUGGCAAGGUGUUCUCCUGCCUUUGGGUGCUCUUUUGCUCAGACAACCUCUCUUCCGUUGAGAAGCAAGGCUGCUUUGGUCUCGCCUGCAGAACUCCUGGGCUGCUGCAGGUGCGAUCCGAGAGGAGCCCCUGGCUUCGCAGAGCUCCACCUGCUUACUGGCUGUGAGUGACGGGACCGGUCCUUCACUGGGCCGUGCACUGGGGCUCUGGGCAAAGCCUUCCUGAGCUCGGUCAGGCCUUCGGCACGAGCCGCUCGUGGCCACAGGAAUCCGUUCUCUCCCAGGUUCAAGGCUGCACGACUGAGUUCCAGGUGGCAGCGCAGCCACACUCCCUCCAGGGGCUCCGGGACGACUCCUUGCUCGCCUCUUCCUGCGUCGGGUGGCCCCAGGCUCCCUUGGGUACGUGCUGUGGGCCUUCCGUCUCUGCCUCCACACGGCCGCCUGCCCGCCGUGCGUCUGUGUCUUCAGCUCCCUGUCUCUCCUUGGCCCUGGGGUCCAUCUGGGCUCCGGCAUGGUCUCACGUUUAUAAAGGUUCCCCCCCGCCAGGAAAGGUCACAUUCUCUGUGUACGGGCGUGUAUUUCUGGGGAGCACCGGUCAAGCCACCCCUACUGCCUGCACGUACAGCUACUGUUAGACACGCGCCACUCAAAGCCUCCCAGGGAGUUUGUGAGGGCGCCUUCCCACGCCCCUCAGCACAGACGUGACCUCGUCUGUGUCUGCUCCGUGGAUCGCAGGUGCCAAAGC